rnacentral:lncRNA from 1 species
UUAUAUGGUUGGAUUUAUAAUCAAAUAUACUCUACAAUGAUUAUAAAUUUAUAACCAUAAAUAAUAUAAUAUAAGAUAAAUGAAUGAUCAAAGUGUUAUUUGGAAGAUCGUGCCAAGUCAUUCCAUGCCUUGGGCCAUUCUUAAAGUUUCAUAUUUAUGUUUCCAAGAGUGCCACGUACUCCCUCCGUUCCACAAAGACUGUUCGUUUAGCCUUCAAAACUUGUUCCACAAAGAGUGUUCCCUCAUAAUACUUUCUGUCCCAGUCAAUGAAUUGAUCAUUUACUCCGAC